UGGCAAUGACGAUGAAAAGGCCGGUCUUACAGCUUCCCCAGAGCUUCGUUCUGGUUGGCAGUAGCAUGAUGUGAAGUGCAUAAGGUGUUAACUGAGCCAG